rnacentral:tRNA from 29 species
GCGGGUGUAGUUCAAUGGUAGAACGCCAGCUUCCCAAGCUUGAGGCGAGGGUUCGAUUCCCUUCACCCGCUCCA